rnacentral:rRNA from 1 species
UACGUAGGGUGCAAGCGUUGUCCGGAAUUAUUGGGCGUAAAGAGCUCGUAGGCGGUCUGUCGCGUCUGCUGUGAAAAUCCGGGGCUCAACCCCGGACUUGCAGUGGGUACGGGCAGACUAGAGUGUGGUAGGGGAGACUGGAAUUCCUGGUGUAGCGGUGGAAUGCGCAGAUAUCAGGAGGAACACCGGUGGCGAAGGCGGGUCUCUGGGCAGUAACUGACGCUGAGGAGCGAAAGCGUGGGGAGCGAACAGG